CCUGGCUCAGGACGAACGCUGGCGGCAUGCCUAACACAUGCAAGUAGAACGAUGAAGGAGGAGCUUGCUUCUCUGGAUGAGUUGCGAACGGGUGAGUAACGCGUCGGUAACCUGCCUGGUAGCGGGGGAGAACUAUUGGAAACGAUAUCUAAUACCGCAUAAGAGUAGAUGUUGCAUGACAUUUACUUAAAAGGUGCAAUUGCAUCACUACCAGAUGGACCUGCGUUGUAUUAGCUAGUUGGUGAGGUAACGGCACACCAAGGCAACGAUACAUAGCCGACCUGAGAGGGUGAUCGGCCACACUGGGACUGAGACACGGCCCAGACUCCUACGG
rnacentral:rRNA from 1 species